rnacentral:lncRNA from 1 species
AGACUAAAACAAACAGCUACAAAACAAUUUUAAAAAUAGAUCAUUUAGAUUAUCUUAAAGUUUUAAUAUUAUAUAUACUUAAAAACAUAGAAAUUAUAGAUAUUAAGAAAAUAAUAUUAGAAAAAGUAAUAGACUACGAAAUUGAAACUAUAAAUUACCUAGAACAGUUAUACGAAGAAAUUUACCCAGAAGGAUAUUAUUCAGAUUAAAGAUAUGUUAGAAUAUAUUAGACAAACUAGAGAAAAUCAAGAAAAUCUAAAUAAUGAAAUUAAUUAUAGAAACCGAAUUAGACAAAUAAUGAAAGACCUAAAAGAAAAAUUAGUAUGGAUAGAAAAAACCUUAGAAAAUUUAGAUAAAAGUACAUGUGAUAGUUUAUAUAAUUUAAAAAACUCACUACGAGAAGAACAAAAAUAAUAAAUAACAUUGAAAAUCUAGAAUUAGAUAUAUAUUAUAGCACAGAUAGAAUAAAUUAUUAUACAAGAAUUUGUAACUCUGUAAUUACUACAGGAUAAAAUAAUUAAUGAAUAUAUCUUACGAUAAAAGUAAAUUAUUAAAAGAUAACAUCCACGC